rnacentral:rRNA from 1 species
UAGGGAAUCUUCCACAAUGGGCGCAAGCCUGAUGGAGCAACACCGCGUGAGUGAAGAAGGUUUUCGGAUCGUAAAGCUCUGUUGUUAAAGAAGAACACGUAUGAGAGUAACUGUUCAUACGUUGACGGUAUUUAACCAGAAAGUCACGGCUAACUACGUGCUAG